rnacentral:misc_RNA from 1 species
UCCGGUUCAUCACCGGCAGUCUCCUUAGAGUCCCCAACUAAAUGAUGGCAACUAAGGAUAAGGGUUGCGCUCGUUACGGGACUUAACCCAACAUCUCACAACACGAGCUGACGACAGCCAUGCAGCACCUGUCUCAGAGUUCCUUUCGGCACAACCGAAUCUCUUCAGUCUUCUCUGGAUGUCAAGGGUAGGUAAGGUUCUUCGCGUUGCAUCGAAUUAAACCACAUGCUCCACCGCUUGUGCGGGCCCCCGUCAAUUCCUUUGAGUUUUAAUCUUGCGACCGUACUCCCCAGGCGGAAAACUUAUCGCGUUAGCUUCGAUACCGAACAGUCUAAGCUGCCCAACAUCUAGUUUUCAUCGUUUACAGCGUGGACUAC